rnacentral:rRNA from 1 species
UACGUAGGGUGCAAGCGUUGUCCGGAAUUAUUGGGCGUAAAGAGCUCGUAGGCGGUUUGUUGCGUCGGCUGUGAAAUCCCGAGGCUCAACCUCGGGUCUGCAGUCGAUACGAGCAAACUAGAGUGUUGCAGGGGAGACUGGAAUUCCUGGUGUAGCGGUGAAAUGCGUAGAUAUCGAGAGGAACACCUGCGGCGAAGGCGGGUUGCUGGGCUGACACUGACGCUGAUGCGCGAAAGCCAGGGGAGCGAACGGG